rnacentral:rRNA from 1 species
GACGAACGCUGGCGGCGUGCUUAGCACAUGCAAGUCGAACGGAAAGGCCCUGCUUUUGUGGGGUGCUCGAGUGGCGAACGGGUGAGUAACACGUGAGUAACCUGCCCUUGACUUUGGGAUAACUUCAGGAAACUGGGGCUAAUACCGGAUAGGAGCUCCUGCUGCAUGGUGGGGGUUGGAAAGUUUCGGCGGUUGGGGAUGGACUCGCGGCUUAUCAGCUUGUUGGUGGGGUAGUGGCUUACCAAGGCUUUGACGGGUAGCCGGCCUGAGAGGGUGACCGGGCACAUUGGGACUGAGAUACGGCCCAGACUCCUACGGGAGGCAGCAGUGGGGAAUAUUGCACAAUGGGCGGAAGCCUGAUGCAGCAACGCCGCGUGCGGGAUGACGGCCUUCGGGUUGUAAACCGCUGUCGCCUGUGACGAAGCGUGAGUGACGGUAAUGGGUAAAGAAGCACCGGCUAACUACGUG